AACGAACGCUGGCGGCAUGCCUAACACAUGCAAGUCGAACGAGACCUUCGGGUCUAGUGGCGCACGGGUGCGUAACGCGUGGGCACCUGCCCUUAGGUUCGGAAUAACUCCCUGCACGGGGUGCUAAUACCGGAUAAUGUCUUCGGACCAAAGAUUUAUCGCCUUUGGAUGGGCCCGCGUUGGAUUAGCUAGUUGGUAGGGUAAAAGCCUACCAAGGCGACGAUACAUAGCUGGUCUGAGAGGAUGAUCAGCCACACUGGGACUGAGACACGGCCCAGACUCCUACGGGAGGCAGCAGUGGGGAAUAUUAGACAAUCAGCGAAAGCCUGAGCCAGCAAUGCCGCGGGAGUGUUGAAGGCCUUAGGGUUGUAAAGCUCUUUUACCCGGGAUGAUAAUGACAGUACCGGGAGAAUAAGCUCCGGCUAACUCCGUG
rnacentral:rRNA from 1 species